CUUUCUCAGCUGAAGACCCUGAUUGAUGCUUAAUCGCCUGUUUCCACGGAAAAUGAUGUUCAGUCUCCUAUAAGUCUUAUUCAGAUCAAUUUGAGCUUUUCAUCACUGUGUCUUCCGAUGAAAAUGGAUUAAAUCUGUUAUAUUGAGUUGGGUUCUUAUCUAUUCUUCCAUAUCCAGUGGGAAGAUGAGGGAAGGCUAGGGUUUCUAAUAUGGGUUGGUUUCUUUACAUGUGUGACAUACUUGGGUUCAUGUAGGUUUGUGGUGAAGAAGAACAGCUUGAGAGUGACAUAUCCAGAAUCUUUCAAAGACGCGUACGAAUGCGCAACUGGGAAUUUUGGGAUUCCACAGAAUGAGCAUGGAGGGACCGUUGUAGGCACUGUCGUUUAUCCCCAAGCCAAUCAAAAGUCCUGCAGCCGCUCCCACCAUUUCGAUGUUUCCUUCAAAUCCCAGCCAGCGGACUUGCCCAUCUUUCUUCUUGCUGACCGAGGAAAUUGUUACUUUGCGCUGAAGGUAUGGAGCGCACAGAACGCGGGAGCUGCUGCUGUUCUGAUUGCAGACAAAAUAGCUGAGACAUUCCCGGUGAGCAGAAAUUGCAGCCUAGUUAUGUGCAGAAGAUCACUAUACCUUCAGCACUGAUUACCAAAGCUUUGGGCGAUAUAAUCAAGGAGGCUCUAUCUGCUGGCGAGAUGGUUACAGUGAACCUUGAUUUGGAGGGGGUCUCUUCUCUGGGUGAGCAUGUUGAGCCACUCCAGCCCCGAUGACUAGGGCCUCUGGUGCCCUCGACCCACUUCACUAUGUCAAUUAAGGCUCAUAUGGGCCUCCAUGUGCAUGACGGACUUCGGUCAUCCCAAUUUUGAAACUUUUUAAGGUAUCGAAUUGAUAUAAUCAAACUUGAAAUUUACAUUUUAA